UUAGUGGUAACAAGGUUUCGGUAGGUGACCUUGCGGAAGGAUCAUUAAAGAAAUAACCUUGAUGGGUGGUAGCUGGCUCUAACUUGAGUAUGUGCACGCCUGUCAUUUUUUUCUUUCCACCAUGUGCACUUUGGGUAGGGUCUGAAAAUCAAGUGAAUUCUUGAUGUCUUGGGAACUGUUGUGCUUCCCAGCCAGCUUUUCCUGUCUUCAGGCUUUAUGAUUUUUUAUAUAUCCCCCAUGUAUGUUAAAGAACGCAUUUCCAGGCUUGCAAAAGCCUAUAAACUUUAUCCAACUUUCAGCAAGGGAUUUUUUGGCUCUGGCAUCGAUGAAGAACGCAGCGAAAUGCGAUAAGUAAUGUGAAUUGCAGAAUUCAGUGAAUCAUGGAAUCUUUGAACGCCCCUUGCGCUCCUUGGUAUUCCGAGGAGCAUGCCUGUUUGAGUGUCAUUAAAUUUUCAAUUUCUCCAACUUUUGUUGUUAGCAGGUUGGAUGUGGGGGUUUUUUGUGGGGGUUACAACCUACUCCCUUGAAAUGAAUUAGCUGGGAUGCCUCGGCAAAUCCAACUAUCAGUGUGAUAAAUAUCUUACUGUGGUUGUUGCUUUUGAGGGUAUCCGCUUCUCAACUGUCUGCAAAGACAACUUGAAUCAUUUUGACCUCAAAUCAGGUAGGACUCCCCGGUGAACUUAAGCAUAUCAAUAAGCGGAGGAAAAGAAACUAACAAGGGUUCCCCUAGUAACUGCCAGGGAAGCGGGGAAAA
rnacentral:rRNA from 1 species